rnacentral:rRNA from 1 species
AGUGAACGCUGGCGGUAGGCCUAACACAUGCAAGUCGAACGGCAGCACAGUAAGAGCUUGCUCUUACGGGUGGCGAGUGGCGGACGGGUGAGGAAUACAUCGGAAUCUACUUUUUCGUGGGGGAUAACGUAGGGAAACUUACGAUAAUACCGCAUACGAUCUACGGGUGAAAGCAGGGGAUCUUCGGACCUUGUGCGAUUGAAUGCGCGGAUGUUGGAUUAGCUGGUUGGCGGGGUACAGGCCCACCAAGGCGAGGAUCCGUAGCUGGUCUGAGAGGAUGAUCAGCCACACGGGAACGGAGACACGCUCCAGACUCCUACGGUAGGCAGCAGUGUAGUAUGUUGGACAAUGGUCGCGAGCCUGAUCCAGCCAUACCGCGUGGGUGGAAAAAGCCUUCGGGUUGUGAUGCCCUUCUGUUGGGAAAAAAAAGCAGCAGGUUAAUACCCCGCUGUUCUGACGGUACCCAAUGAAUAAGCACCGGCUAACUUCGUG